rnacentral:rRNA from 1 species
AAUCAGUUAUGGUUCCUUAGAUCGUUCAUACUACAUGGAUAACUGUGGUAAUUCUAGAGCUAAUACAUGCAAAAAGCUCCGACCGUAUGGGAAGAGCGCUUUUAUUAGACCAAAACCAAUGGGGUCGCAAGAUCCCUUUGUAUGGUGACUCUGGAUAACUUUGUGCUGAUCGCAUGGCCUAGAGCCGGCGACGUAUCUUUCAAGUGUCUGCCCUAUCAACUUUCGAUGGUAAGCGAUUUGCCUACCAUGGUUGUAACGGGUAACGGGGAAUCAGGGUUCGAUUCCGGAGAGGGAGCAUGAGAAAUGGCUACCACAUCUACGGAAGGCAGCAGGCGCGCAAAUUACCCACUCCUAGAACGGGGAGGUAGUGACGAAAAAUAACAAUACCGGACUCAAUGAGGCUCGGUAAUUGAAAUGAGUACAGUUUAAAACCCUUAACGAGGAUCUAUUGGAGGGCAAGUCUGGUGCCAGCAGCCGCGGUAAUUCCAGCUCCAAUAGCGUAUAUUAAAGUUGUUGCAGUUAAAAAGCUCGUAGUUGGAUCUCGGGUACUAGCAUGUGGUACGCUUAACUGCUGUUACUACAUGUCUGGUCCUAAUCAACCGGUUGGCCGUUGAUGCCCUUUAUUGGGUGUUUUCGGUAGCCGGUACGUUUACUUUGAGAAAAUUAGAGUGCUUAAAGCAGGCCUUACGCCUGAAUAAUGUUGCAUGGAAUAAUAGAAUAGGACCUCGGUUCUAUUUUGUUGGUUUUGUAGAGCAUUGAGGUAAUGAUUAAUAGGGACAGACGGGGGCAUUCGUAUUGCGGU